rnacentral:rRNA from 1 species
GUAGGAGACGAGCGUUGUCCGGAAUUACUGGGCGUAAAGCGCGUGUAGGCGGAUGAGCAAGUCUGCUGUGAAAGCUCCUGGCUUAACCGGGAGUGGUCGGUGGAAACUGCUCGUCUGGAGGACGGUAGAGGUAGGUAGAAUUCCCGGUGUAGUGGUGAAAUGCGUAGAGAUCGGGAGGAAUACCUGUGGCGAAGGCGGCCUACUGGGCCGGACCUGACGCUGAGACGCGAAGGCGUGGGGAGCGAACGGGAUUAGAUACCCCGGUAGUCCACGCAGUAAACGAUGUGUACUAGGUGUGGCGGGUAUCAAGCCCCGCCGUGCCGGAGCUAACGCUGUAAGUACACCGCCUGGGGAGUACGGCCGCAAGGUUA